rnacentral:misc_RNA from 1 species
UUGCACACACAAGUUGCAGCCAACCCGCGGCGAACGAACACAUUGUCCCCCUCGGUGGGUCGUGGCGCCUUCGCGGCGUCGCGGCCGGCCAACUCCCUUUGUCGCGCUCCGCGCGCGGCGUCGGGUUUCCACGCGAUGCCUUCACCUUGACCGAAUGACUGAGUCCCUUACGACUUUGAGAAGAGUGACGAGUUCCGUCACCUUGCGAGUUGUGAAACAUAACCCAAAAACAACUCUCAGCAACGGAUAUCUUGGCUCUUGCAACGAUGAAGAACGCAGCGAAAUGCGAUACGUAGUGUGAAUUGCAGAAUUCCGCGAAUCAUCGAGUCUUUGAACGCAAGUUGCGCCCGAGGCUUGUCCAAGGGCAUUUCCGCUAGAGCGUCACCGCGCCCCCCACCGAUCCACUCCCACCGGGAGUCGCGUCGAGUGAAAGUGGCCAUCCCGGCGCGCCUUCCAGGCCUCAAGGGUUGGCUGAAAUGGAGGGAAUCGGGCCGCCGUGGUGACACAGUCCGCGAUCGGGUGAUUUUCGGGCUCCUGCUUUGUCUGUGAGCCCGGGAUUUUUCUAAGUGCGAGGCUGCGUCGCCCAGUCGGUCGUGGUUACCUCAUGCAGGUCGAGCGCGCCCCCCGCGGCGCGCGUCACGCAUCAGACCUCUAAUCGGAAAAGACUACCCGCUGAGUUUAA